ACAUCCAGCGAACUUGGCAGAGAUGCCUUGGUGCCUUCGGGAACGCUGAGACAGGUGCUGCAUGGCUGUCGUCAGCUCGUGUUGUGAAAUGUUGGGUUAAGUCCCGCAACGAGCGCAACCCUUAUCCUUUGUUGCCAGCGAUUCGGUCGGGAACUCAAAGGAGACUGCCGGUGAUAAACCGGAGGAAGGUGGGGAUGACGUCAAGUCAUCAUGGCCCUUACGAGUAGGGCUACACGCGUGCUACAAUGGCGCAUACAAAGAGAAGCGACCUCGCGAGAGCAAGCGGACCUCAUAAAGUGCGUCGUAGUCCGGAUCGGAGUCUGCAACUCGACUCCGUGAAGUCGGAAUCGCUAGUAAUCGUGGAUCAGAAUGCCACGGUGAAUACGUUCCCGGGCCUUGUACACACCGCCCGUCACACCAUGGGAGUGGGUUGCAAAAGAAGUAGGUAGCUUAACCUUCGGGAGGGCGCUUACCACUUUGUGAUUCAUGACUGGGGUGAAGUCGUAACAAGGUAGGCGUAGCGAG
rnacentral:rRNA from 1 species